AUGGUGUCCAUGAACCUCUACUCCUUGGCGCUGGUGGUGGUCGCCCUGGUGGCGGCGCCGAUGGCCGCAGUGGCCGGCGACCCAGACAUCCUCACCGACUUCAUCGUGCCGGCGCCUAUGGUCGGCAUGCCCAUGAACAUCACCGGCGACUACUUCACCUACACCGGCUUCCACCCGUCCCUGCCGCUGCCGCUGCCGACCUUCACGCUCACCAAGGCCUCCAUGGCGGAGUUCCCCGCGCUCAACGGGCAAAGCGUGUCGUACGCCAGGCUCGUGUUCCCGCCGGGCACCGUGAACCCGACCCACACCCACCCGCGCGCCUCCGAGCUGCUGCUCGUCCUCGACGGUGCCCUCUCCGUCGGCUUCGUCGACACCGCCGGCAAGCUCUACACCAAGGACCUCGUCACCGGCGACAUGUUCAUCUUCCCCAAGGGCCUCGUGCACUACCAGUACAACCAGGGGACAACGAUCGCCGUGGCGCUCUCGGCAUUCGGCAGCGCCAACGCCGGCACCGUGUCCGUGCCCGUCACCGUGUUCGGAACCGGCGUCGACGACGCCGUGCUCGCCAAGUCGUUCAAGACCGACCUGCCCACCAUCCAGAAGCUCAAGGCGGCGCUCACCCCGCCCAAGAAAUAA
rnacentral:rRNA from 1 species